GUCCUAUGACAGACACGAUCAAAGACAGAGGAAUCAUCCCUGAAUCCAACUAUGCCUUUUCUGGCAUAGAGAAGAGUGAAGGGUCUUCUCGUCUCCAUGUGUCCAAUGAAUUUUAACGGUUGAAUUCGUUGGAACCCUGCUCCAGAAGCGAAUAGAUGCUCCGUAAAGGAAAAGCGCCACGGGCGAAGAUUUGAAAUCACUGAAAAUUCCGAAAAAAAAGUUACUUCAUCAGCUCUGGUCACAUGUCACACACCAAUCAGAUUUGUGUGAUUACAGAUUUACGCAACUAUAAUAAAACGGACAUCAUAUUUUUUGGUUAUUGCGGUCUGGGUUUUUCAUGGGGAGACAAUUUGCUUGGAAGGAUAGGGCAGCCAGAUUCAAACUGAGAUAUCUUAAAGACACAUAAAUCCAUCAUAUGAUCUCUAAUCAGCUCUGUUACGUUGCGCCAGAUGUUGACUCAUAAAGUCAGCAAUUUACAAACGGUCUGGAAAUCGGGAAUAUCAGUGUGAUGCCCAUAAACGCGGCUAGCCCAAAUCGAUUGGCUGCCUGAUCAUUCAAAUACGUCGAAAAGUCUAUUUUAAUGUCAUUUAUUUAAUUUUUUUUUUAAAUCAGCUAAAAUUGAAUAGAUCUAAGUAGAGACAGAAAGAUCUCCGCUUGCUCUGUCUACAAGCAUUGAACUGGGGAAAGCCAAUCGGCACAUUCGUAUAAUCGGACAAAUAAUGGCUUGACACUUAGAAAAAUGGUUGAAAAAGCGCCGGCCAAAGUUUUACUCUAUUAUAAGCCUGCCUGCCUCUGUUCCCUCUUAAACAUAGACUGUAUUUUCUAGUUAAUUGCUUAACGAUAACAAUAAACUAUAGUGUAAUGCGUCAUGUGGCUGAAUAUUCCUAUAGCUACCAUGAAUGUAUGCCUACAUUCAUAGUAAACGGCAUUUCUUUUCUGUAAUACUCUUGUACCGUGCGUCCUGUUGCUAGGAUCUUUUUUCAAUAGAAUUCGACUCUUUUCGGUUUCAUGUUCUAUGCGGCGCUUGCGUCGCACAAACCCUCUCCUUAAGAGAUAUAAGCAAUCUGUUUUAAAGGACCAUGGUCUCUUCUUGAGGAGACUAGUGAAAGCGAUUUCGAAAGGACAAAUUCACAAAGCACACUGCUUAGCCGAUGAUGAAGUUGAUCACGUUAAGUCUUCUUUUAGCGUCGUUAGUCGCUGCGGCUUUCGGCGAGGCUGAUUUGAAGGUGUCCGAUGCCGUCAAAUUUGCGGUCGCUCAAGCCAAAACCAUUAAACCAUCUGCUGUGUUGGUAAAAGAUCGGGGCGUAACGAAACCCAGUUCCACAGAAAGGCGAUAUAGGGUUCUUCUUAUGAUCGAUGGAAUACCGUGUGAGAUAGAGGUGAUCGAGAAAGAAGUGCGUAUUGGGUUUACCCGUGAUACAGAACCGUUUAAGACCGUCAAAAAUACCGCGAAGAACUGUGUCCUCUGUUGUUGAAAACGGAAUAAUUCGAUGUAAUCACAGGCAAGCUGUGUGAUCGUUGAAGUGAUAGUAAUAAAAUUCGUUUCCGGUUAUGAACAGAUA